rnacentral:lncRNA from 1 species
AGACAACCUCAGGAUCUCCAAACUGAAGACACAAGUGACAUGACCGAAACAGGGUCCCCUCAAUAAGAUUUCCCAGAUACUGAGGACCUCAGUCUCCUCACCACCACGAUUCCUGCACACCGAUGCAUUCCUUUAAAAGGAAAGCAGCUGGAACAUUAAUGGCAAUUCCACUUUCCCAUUCAUCGCCCCCGCCCCCACCACCCCACCAAGAAACUCAGUGGGAAUGAAUGGUCUACACAGAGAAACUGAAAUCUGGUUAGUCAAGAAGGAAAAAACAACCAAGUGCCUGGCAUUAAGAGGAUUUUUUUUUUAAGCUCAGCCUAUGGACAACAAAAGCAUGGACUGUAUUUCUCAGCAUCUUUUGCAGUAAGAUCUGAUCAUAUGAUUAUAAUCUGGCCAAUGAAAUAUAAACAGAAGUG